UACGUAGGGUGCAAGCGUUGUCCGGAAUUAUUGGGCGUAAAGAGCUCGUAGGCGGUUCGUCGCGUCGGCUGUGAAAACCCGGAGCUCAACUCCGGGCCUGCAGUCGAUACGGGCGGACUUGAGUGUUGCAGGGGAGACCGGAAUUCCGUGGUGUAGCGGUGAAAUGCGCAGAUAUCAGGAGGAACACCGGUAGGCGAAGGCGGGUCUCUGGGCAACUACUGACGCUGAGGAGGCGAAAGCGUGGGGAGCGAACAGG
rnacentral:rRNA from 1 species